CCUACGGAGGGCAGCAGUGAGGAAUAUUGGUCAAUGGACGCAAGUCUGAACCAGCCAUGCCUCGUGCAGGAAGACGGCUCUAUGAGUUGUAAACUGCUUUUGUACGAGGGUAAAUCCCGAUACGUGUAUCUGGUUGAAAGUAUCGUACGAAUAAGGAUCGGCUAACUCCGUGCCAGCAGCCGCGGUAAUACGGAGGCUUCAAGCGUUAUCCGGAUUUAUUGGGUUUAAAGGGUGCGUAGGCGGUUCGAUAAGUUAGAGGUGAAAUCCCGGGGCUCAACUCCGGCACUGCCUCUGAUACUGUCGGGCUAGAGUUUAGUUGUGGUAGGCGGAAUGUAUGGUGUAGCGGUGAAAUGCAUAGAGAUCAUACAGAACACCGAUUGCGAAGGCAGCUUACCAAACUACGACUGACGUUGAGGCACGAAAGCGUGGGGAGCAAACAGGAUUAGAUACCCGAGUAGUC
rnacentral:rRNA from 1 species